rnacentral:rRNA from 1 species
CAGCAGCCGCGGGAAUACGUAGGUCCCGAGCGUUGUCCGGAUUUAUUGGGCGUAAAGCGAGCGCAGGCGGUUAGAUAAGUCUGAAGUUAAAGGCUGUGGCUUAACCAUAGUACGCUUUGGAAACUGUUUAACUUGAGUGCAAGAGGGGAGAGUGGAAUUCCAUGUGUAGCGGUGAAAUGCGUAGAUAUAUGGAGGAACACCGGUGGCGAAAGCGGCUCUCUGGCUUGUAACUGACGCUGAGGCUCGAAAGCGUGGGGAGCAAACAGGAUUAGAGACCCGAGUAGUCCCUGUCUCUUAUACA